CCUACGGGUGGCAGCAGUGGGGAAUAUUGGACAAUGGGCGAAAGCCUGAUCCAGCCAUGCCGCGUGUGUGAAGAAGGCCUUCGGGUUGUAAAGCACUUUCAGUGGGGAAGAAAGCCUUGGGGCUAAUACCCUCGAGGAAGGACAUCACCCACAGAAGAAGCACCGGCUAACUCCGUGCCAGCAGCCGCGGUAAUACGGAGGGUGCGAGUGUUAAUCGGAAUUACUGGGCGUAAAGCGCGCGUAGGCGGUCUGAUAAGCCGGUUGUGAAAGCCCCGGGCUCAACCUGGGAACGGCAUCCGGAACUGUCAGGCUAGAGUGCAGGAGAGGAAGGUAGAAUUCCCGGUGUAGCGGUGAAAUGCGUAGAGAUCGGGAGGAAUACCAGUGGCGAAGGCGGCCUUCUGGACUGACACUGACGCUGAGGUGCGAAAGCGUGGGUAGCAAACAGGAUUAGAUACCCUGGUAGUC
rnacentral:rRNA from 1 species